rnacentral:rRNA from 1 species
UACGUAGGGUGCAAGCGUUGUCCGGAAUUAUUGGGCGUAAAGAGCUCGUAGGCGGUCUGUCGCGUCUGCUGUGAAAACCUGGGGCUUAACCCCGGGCCUGCAGUGGGUACGGGCAGACUAGAGUGCGGUAGGGGAGACUGGAAUUCCUGGUGUAGCGGUGAAAUGCGCAGAUAUCAGGAGGAACACCGGUGGCGAAGGCGGGUCUCUGGGCUAUAACUGACGCUCAUGCACGAAAGCGUGGGGAGCAAACAGG